UCACCCAGAGCCUUCUGGGGUGGUGGAUAGGUGAGGACCUCAUCGAGUUAUUGAGGCUGAGAGAGGUGAAGCACCUUGCCUAAGGUCAUACAGCCAGUGUUCGAGCCCAGCUGCUAAGAAGACCGCAGCAGCCUUCAUAAGUUGUAUCUUCCCCUUUACUGAAGAAUCACCAGUCACCUACAGUUGCACAGCAAGCAUGGGAAAAUAACUGAAAUUUUGAUGUGCCAUUUCUCACUUCUUUAAGAACCCUCCUUCAAAUUCCUGAAUAAAGCUGCU
rnacentral:lncRNA from 10 species